rnacentral:rRNA from 1 species
UAUGGCUGCACCACCCUGAAUGCCCCUAAUCUCAUCUGAUCGCAGAAGCUGAGCAGGGUCGGACCUGGUUAGCACUUGCAUGAGAGAAGUAAUAGAAGAAGGGAGCUGGCAGAG